GAGGGUGUAGCUCAGGGGUAGAGUGCAUGCUUAGGAUGCCGGAGGGCCUGGGUUCAACCCCCAGUGCCUCCA
rnacentral:tRNA from 1 species